rnacentral:misc_RNA from 1 species
UUUCCGUAGGUGAACCUGCGGAAGGAUCAUUAUUGAAUAAACCUGAUGUGGUUGUAGCUGGCCCUUUCGGGAGCAUGUGCACACCCGUCGUCUUUAUCUUUCCACCUGUGCACCUUUUGUAGACCUGGAUGUAACACUUUCCGAGGCAACUCGGUCGGGAGGAAUGCUGUCAGCUUUCCUUGAAUGUCCAGGCCUAUGUUCUCAUAUACCCCAAAGAAUGUAACAGAAUGUAUUAUUGGGCCUUGUGCCUAUAAACUAUAUACAACUUUCAGCAACGGAUCUCUUGGCUCUC